rnacentral:rRNA from 1 species
AAUUUUGGACAAUGGGGGAAACCCUGAUCCAGCCAUCCCGCGUGUUGGAUGAAGGACUACGGUUUGUAAAGUACUUUUGGCAGAGAAGAAAAGGUAUCCCCUAAUACGGGAAACUGCUGACGGUAUCUGCAUAUUAAGCACCGGAUAACUACGUGCCAGCAGCCGCGGUAAUACGUAGGGUGCAAGCGUUAAUCGGAUUUACUGGGCGUAAAGCGAGUGUAGGCGGUUCGGAAAGAGAGGUGAGAAGUCCCAGGGCUCAACCUUGGAUCUGCAUUUUUAUCGGCCGAGCUAGAGUAUGUCAGAGGAGGGUAGAAUGACACGUGUAGCAGUGAAAUGCGUAGAUAAGUGGAGGAAUACCGAUGGCGAAGGCAGCUCCCUGGGAUAUUACUGACGCUCAGACACGAAAGCGUGGGGAGCAAACAGG